UACGGAGGGUGCGAGCGUUGUCCGGAAUCAUUGGGCGUAAAGGGCGCGUAGGUGGCGCGGUUAGCGUGCGGUGAAAGCUCGGGGCUCAACCCCGAGUCGGCCGUGCGAACUGCCGCGCUGGAGCACUGUAGAGGCAGGCGGAAUUCCGGGUGUAGCGGUGGAAUGCGUAGAGAUCCGGAAGAACACCGGUGGCGAAGGCGGCCUGCUGGGCAGUGGCUGACACUGAGGCGCGACAGCGUGGGGAGCAAACAGG
rnacentral:rRNA from 1 species